UCAUUUCAGCAUAACAGUCUAGUUUUAUUACUUUUGUGGUUAAAAAUGCGGGAAUCGGAUUCUGCUACCGCUCUCCUAUCCCGCACUGAUUGGAUCAGGAAUCAGUCUAGUUAUUUGCACAACUACAACACCGAGUUUGAGAAUCUCAAGGCACAAGUUGAGAAACUUACCCUUGUCAAACAGCGUGUGCUGCAGAAGAUUGAGGUUGCUAGAAGAAAUGGAGAAGAGAUUGAUAACGACGUUCAAGAGUGGAUGAUUAAUGUCGACAAGCUCAUCGCUAAGGCACAUAUGACUUUUUUAUAUGAACAGUAUGGAAAGAAGAGAUGUUUCCGGGGUUUGUGUCCUAAUUUGGGAACCCGCGAUCAGCUUACCAAGAAAGCAGCUAACGAAGUUAAGGCUAUGGUUUUACUCCUGUCUAAAGGAGAAAAAUUCCAUGAAAUCUCCUCCCGUACCAUUCCAGAGGACAUUUCCAGCUUGGUUACUUCAAGCCAAAAUCCCUUUAUUUCUUUGCGGAACUACAAGAGAUACUAUGAAAAACUUGUUACUGAAGUUGAGAAGCUGAUGGAUGACAGGGAGCGUGUGCAGCGUUUGAUAGAGGUUUCUAGAAGAAACGGAGAAUCGAUUUAUGAAGAUGUUUCGAAGUGGAUGAUGAGUGUUGGAGAGCUUGUUGAUGAUACAAGAAGGACUUUUGAAGCCUUUAAGCAGAAAGAAAAUGGCCGAUUUUUCAUCGGGUUGUAUCCUCGUCUGAAAGCCCGUUACAAUCUCGGCAACAAAGCAGUGAGGCAACUGAAGGCUGUUGCUGAACUCCGGGGAGAAGUGUUCGAUAGAGUUUCUUACACUAUCAUUCCACCCAACGUAUGGCUUACUUCUACCAAAGUUUACGAGAAUUUUGGAUCAAGAAUGCCCACUUUGCAGGGUCUGCACAACACAUUAGAGGAUCCUAAUAUCAACAUAGUUGGGGUGUAUGGAAUGGGUGGCAUUGGCAAGACUGUGUUAGUGAAGCAAUUAGCAGCUCGAGCCGAGAGAGAUAAGCUCUUUGAUGUUGUGAUUUUUGCAGAGGUAACUUCAAGACCAAACAUAAAAAAGAUUCAAGGAGACAUUGCAGAUCAUCUGGGUCUGAUGUUCCGUCAGGAGGAUGAAAUUGGAAGAGCAAUCAGGCUAUUUGAUCGAUUGAAGCUAGAGAAGACCGUUCUUGUAAUAUUAGAUGAUAUCUGGACAAGUUUUAAUUUGAGGAGAGUUGGAGUUCCUGUGGGAGAUGAUCAUAAGAUGUGUAAAGUACUGCUAACAUCAAGAGAUGGUGAUGUAUUAAGCCAAAUAGGUUCUCAGCGGAAUUUUUUUGUUGAUGUUUUAGAUGAAGAAGAAAAUUUUGAUCUCUUUAAGAAAAUAGCAGGUGAUUCUGCUGAAAACCUGGAGUUGCAGCCCUUAGCAUUUAACAUAGCCAAGGCAUCUGGAGGCUUGCCUCUUGCCGUUUCUUCAGUUGCAACUGCAUUGAGAAGCAAGGACAUAGCUACAUGGCGCAAUACAUUGCGAAGUUUGGGACAGCCGUUAUUGAAUAACUUCAGUGGGAUACUUGCGGAAGUUUACUCAAGUAUAGAGUUGAGUUAUAAUCUUUUGAAAGGUGAGGAACUCAAGUCAACUUUUUUGCUUUGUAGUCUAAUGAAGUAUUCUGGUGAUAUUUCCAUCAUGGGACUGUUAAAAUAUGGAAUGGGUUUGGGUUUAUUUAAAGAAAUUUCUAGUGUGGAAGAAGCACGAAAUAGAGUAUAUACAUUGAUUCAUGAACUCAAAUGCUGUUGUUUGUUACUAGAUGCUCAUUCCAAUGAAUGGUUUUCUAUUCAUGAUAUUGUUCUACUUGUUGCCAUAACAAUUGCAUCUAGAGAUCAACAUGCGUUUACACUGAGAAAUGGGGCUAUAGAUCGGCUAGAUAAGGGUGCACUUAGAAAAUGCCAGGCAAUCCUCAUAUGGGACAUUAAUAUGGCAGAGCUUCCUGAAGGUUUGGAAUGUCCACAACUCAGUUUUUUCUAUCUUCUUGCUCAAAAUUCAAUUAUGAAAAUUCCAGACAGUUUUUUCACUGGAAUGACACAACUCACUGUUCUAAACUUGACUAAAAUGCACUUAUCACCGUUACCUUUCUCACUUUGUAUCUUAGUAAACCUUCGGACAUUGUGUUUGGAUCAGUGCAUACUGGGAAAUGUAGCUGGUAUUGGAGACUUGAAGAACCUUGAAAUCCUCAGCUUAUCACAUUCUGAUAUUAAGUUUUUGCCUAAAGAUAUAGGUCAGUUGACUCAGUUGAGGAUGUUAGAUAUGAGUGGUUGUUCCAAACUAGAAGUUAUUUCACCAAAUGUUAUAUCAAGUUUAUCUCGCUUAGAAGAAUUGUAUAUGAGUAAUAGCUUUCUUCGAUGGGAAGUUGAAGGGCUCAGUAUGGAAGGAAGAAAUGCUAGCCUUAAUGAGUUGAAGCAUUUGGCUGAAUUGACAUCUUUAGAAAUAUGUGUUAAAGAUGCCAAUAUUCUACCAAGAGAUCUUGUUUCUAAGUUGAGAAGAUAUAGGAUAUUCAUAGGUGACGUGUGGGACUGGUUCAGUGAGUAUGGAACUUUAAGAACAUUGAAACUCAAGGCCGAUACCAGCAUUUUUCCGAAGCGUGGGAUUACCAGGCAAUUAUAUGGAAUUGCAGAACUAUACUUGGAUGAAUUGUUGGGUGUCGGUAACGUUCUUUAUCAAUUAGAUGGUGAGGGUUUUUCACAAUUGAAGCAUCUCCAUAUUCAGAAUAAUUCCUCCUUGCAAUGUAUUGUUGACCCAACGGACCGUGAACCUGGUCAUGCUUUUCCCAAAUUGGAGUCAAUGUUUCUUCACAAUUUGAUGAACCUGGAGAUGAUGUUUAAAGGUCGAUUCACUAAAGAGUCGUUUUGCAAUUUAAAAAUCAUAAAGGUGGAAAAGUGUGAUAAGUUAAAUAAUGUCUUUUCAUUUUCUAUUGCCAGAGGGCUUCCACGACUUCAAACACUGGAAUUUAAUGAAUGCAAUAAUGUGGAACAUCUAUUUUUUCCUGAAACAGUUGCAGAUAUUUAUGUUGAUGACUGUGAAGAAAACAUUGAAAUCAAUGAAGUGGUGAAUGAGAUUGAAUUUGGUCAGAUACGCUCCUUGACUUUGAAAUCACUUCCAAAACUCAGAAGCUCUUGCUUGAAAGUGAUAUUGUUCAGUGAAGUUUUGGAGGAUUUGGUUGACUCAAACGUGCCACUUGUCAGUGAAACGGUUUUGUUUCCCAUGUUGCAGGUACUGGAACUGGUUGACAUUAAUAUUCAAAAGAUUUGGCAUAAUCAACUUCCAUCAAAGUUUUCUUCCAUUCAAAAUUUAACACAUUUAAUCUUGCAAGGAUGUGGUAAAUUGAACUAUAUUUUUUCGUCUUCUAUAUUACAAUGCUUUGUGAAGCUUCAACACCUUGAAAUAUGCAAUUGUGAAAUUCUGGAAGAGAUAAUCUUCAUGGAAGAGUUCAGUGAAGAAUGGAAGUUAAAAAUCUUCCCUUCUUUAGAGUGCCUGGUGAUAAAAGAUCUUGAAAAACUUGGAAGAUUUUGCUCAGGAAAUUGCAUUGAAUUUCCAUCCUUGAAACGCGUGGAGAUAAAGCAAUGCCCUCAAUUCACGUCAUUCAUCCUGACAAACAUAAACACCGGCUCAGAGGAGAUUCAACCUUUCUUCACCGAAAAGGUUGCAUUACCUAGCUUAGAUGAAAUGGUAAUUUCUGGCAUGGAUAACUUGAAGGUGAUAUGGAACUACCAACUCCUUGGGCAUUCUUUUCAAAAACUAAAACUAAUCGAAAUCAAGAACUGUGAUAAGCUGUUGUCUAUUUUUCCUUCAAAUAUGUUUGAAAGGUUCUGGCAGUUAGAAACACUAACUGUUUCUGCUUGUGCUUCAUUAGUGGAGAUAUUUGAUCUCCCGAGGCCAAAUAUUCAAGCUCAGUUAAAAGAACUGUAUAUUCAUAGUCUACCAAAAGUGAGGCAAAUAUGGAAAACGGAGUCCCAAGUGAAGCUUUCCUUUCCAAAGCUCCGGUUAGUGAAAGUUUUUGAAUGUCAGAAUCUAGAAAAUCUUUUUCCAACCUCCAUUGCCAAGAGCCUUUUUGAACUUGAAGAGCUUGAGAUGGUUAAUUGUGGAGUGAAGGAGAUUGUUUCAAAAGAAGAAAGCGGAGAAUCAACUGCUAGGUUUGUCUUUCCACGGAUAACAUUUCUCAAAUUCUCAAUGCUUCCACAACUCAGAUGUUUCUAUCCUGGAACACAUACAUCAGAAUGGAUUACAUUAAAAAAGUUGGAGGUGUUUGAUUGUGAUAAUGUGGAGAUAUUCACUUCAAAAUUUCUCCGCAACCAGCUUGAUGUACCAGCAAAACAACCCCUCUUCUUGGUUGAAAAGGUCUUCCCAAAUUUGGAGGAAUUGAAACUAGGUGGAAAAGUCGUUGCAAUGAUAUGGCAAGGGGCAUUUCCAGAACACCUGUUUCGUGGAGUUGAAGUACUUUUUGUUGUUAGAGAUGAAUCAGAUGUUUUUCCAUUUCAUGCCUUUCAAAGAUUUCACAAUCUAGAAAAGCUCAUCCUAAGUCAUGGUUCAUACAAAGAGAUAUUCUCACAUGAAGAGGUAGAUGAACAAGAUGGACAAGCCAGGAUAUUGACACAGAUUAAAGAAAUAAGGUUGUUUGAACUUUCCAAUCUAAAAUGGAUGUGGAAACAAGAGUCAAAACUUAGCACAUUACUUCAGAAUCUUUUCAUUCUUGAUGUAUGGUGGUGCCAUAAUUUGAAUUAUUUAGUGCCAUCAUCGACAUCUUUCCACAAUUUAACAGUUCUGGAAGUGUGGUUUUGCAAAAAAUUGAAGAACUUAGUAGCCCUCUCAACAGCCAAAACCCUAGUGCAACUCAAAGAAAUGAAGAUUGGUGGAUGUGAAUUGCUUAUAGAAGUAGUAGCAAAUGAGGGAUAUGUGAUAGAAGAAGUCGAGAUAAACUUUUGCAAAUUGAAGAGCUUAACACUUUUUGGUUUAGAAAGUCUUAGAAGCUUUUGCUCUGGGAAUAAUUCUUUCAUAUUCCCAUUAUUAGAAGAAGUAUUUGUAAUAGAAUGUCCCAAUAUGACUUUUUUCUCAAAUGGAGUUUUGAGCACACCAAACCUACAAGCCGUACAACAGAGUUGGGCAGCGGAUGUGUGGCAUUGGGACGGUGAUCUUAAUACAACCAUACGACAGUUGCAUAAGAAAAUGCUGUAGGAAAUCUUGGAGAAAUUAAUGCACAGAGCAAGCAGUUGAUUGGUUGUCCCUUGGAUGUGUCUGCAAUAUAAAUGAUGCCAGCUAGGGUUUCACCAUUGCUCUCUCUUCACCUCUUAACCACAAUCUUGGUCAGUUCAUGCACCUCCCCUCUUGUUUGACUGGAUUGGUUAUUAUUUAUUUUCAUUUAGUAUUUAUGAAUUUGAUAAAUUGAGACUUAAAGCUUAGGGUUUGAAGUUAAUGUUAGUGAAGUAAUUUGUUAUUGUGCUUUGAACUGUAUUAUCAAUUGGUGAAUUUGUUGUUCUUGGUUCAUUGACGCUCAUUUCUGAUACGUUGUAGGAGAUUGAGAUUGUAGAGACUCAGAAUUAAGAAAAAUCUAGAAAGGAAAGUUAACACAGAUAUAAGAAGGAGCAGGUGGAAAAUAUUGUUUGUUCCGUAGUAAUGUUUAUUACAGUGUUGUUGUGUCUAUAUAUGUUUUCACUAACCAAAACAAUCAAAAGGUGACAACUGGCUACAACAUAAUACUUAUUCAUAUAUAUUUUGUAUAUUUCCUUUCCAAAAGAUGAUGUUGACUCCUACUCUUAUGCGUUAUUUUGAAGGCUUAAAUGCAUAUUAGUAUUCCCCUUUUCGACAGACUUGCCCUCAAGUCUAAAAUAUGGAAAUUGCAACCUUAUCUCAUUUGCAUAUUCCCAAGUUGUUUCUGAUGGUGCUAACCCUUGCCAUUGAACAAGGAGUUGAGCAGCUAUGACAUUCCAUUGUUUCACCAUGCAUCUAUCAAGAACUGCUAUGGGAAUUAAAUCAUGAGAAGCCAACAUGCUAGGAAUAUUUGGCGAAACGUGAAUUUGAGAAUAGGCUUAAAAAGUGAUACACGAAAAACAUCAUGAAUCUCUGAAUUUGGUGGUAGCUUCAACUUAUAAGCUACAAGACCAAUAGUAUCAUGUAUCUGGAAAGGUCCAAAAUAUUUGGCUUGAAGCUUGUGACUCCCCUUAUAUAUCGACAGUUGCCAAUAAGGCUAUAAUUUGAGAUAUACCUAAUCACCUUUCUAGAAUUUUCUUUCAAUUCUUUUUUUAUUUGCCAUCAAUUUUAUCCUUUACUAAGCUAUUGUGAGAUGGUGCCUUAGAAUUUGUAAUGUCACUUCCCUUGUCCUCACGAAGGUGUCUAAUGCCUCUGUUUUUGUAUCAUUUGGAAAGUAUGGAAUGUGGAUGAGGAGUUGUAC